rnacentral:rRNA from 1 species
CGAGUGAGCGGGCACAGCUCAAUUUGAAAUCUGGCGCCUUCGGCGUCCGAGUUGUAAUCUGGAGAAGUGGUUUCCGCGCCGGACCCUGGCCUGUUCCCUGGAAACGGCGUCAUAAAGGGGGAAAACCCCGUACUGAUGAGGAUGCGCGGUGCUUUGUGAUAU